UCUCUGGUGGUCUAGUGGCCAAGACUCCACAUUCUCAAUGCAGGGGGCCCGGGUUCAAUCCCUGGUCAGAGAA
rnacentral:tRNA from 1 species